GUGGGGAAUAUUGGACAAUGGGCGCAAGCCUGAUCCAGCCAUGCCGCGUGAGUGAUGAAGGCCUUAGGGUUGUAAAGUCCUUUCGCUGGGGAAGAUAAUGACGGUACCCAGUAAAGAAGCCCCGGCUAACUCCGUGCCAGCAGCCGCGGUAAUACGGAGGGGGCUAGCGUUGUUCGGAAUUACUGGGCGUAAAGCGCGCGUAGGCGGAUCGGAAAGUUGGGGGUGAAAUCCCGGGGCUCAACCUCGGAACUGCCUUCAAAACUCCCGGUCUUGAGUUCGAGAGAGGUGAGUGGAAUUCCGAGUGUAGAGGUGAAAUUCGUAGAUAUUCGGAGGAACACCAGUGGCGAAGGCGGCUCACUGGCUCGAUACUGACGCUGAGGUGCGAAAGCGUGGGGAGCAAACAGGAUUAGAUACCCCUGUAGUCC
rnacentral:rRNA from 1 species